CAGUUCUUUACCAGGAAUCCACCCUACUGACACAUGAGCAGUUCAUAAACUUUGCUCAGACAAGGAAAUCAUGCCAUGCAGAAACUGCAGAGAUCCAGAGUUCAGUGGAGAUGCCAUGGGAGCUGAACUCUGUUUGCAGGCCCACCUUAGGGUAGAUGCUGUCUGCAAGGGCCCUGCCUCCUCUUGGGUUAUCAUCUUCCUCUGCUUCCUGGCUGCAGACCAAAGAAAACCCCAGGCACAGAAAUGGGCUCAAGUCACUGGUGAAGCUGCAGUGAAGUAAACCAGGGAGUGGAUUUCGGGAAGCUCAGCCACCUCACCCAUGGAUGACCUUGUUCCACAGCCAAUGUAGGUAACUUGAUUGACCUUUGAUACCAAGACUGGGUGUUUGUAUAUGUCAGAUGAAAGAAAUGUAAAUCCAGGUCUACAAGCUAAAAAAAAAAAAAAAAUAGUUACAGAGGAUUUUAAAGUAUU
rnacentral:lncRNA from 1 species